rnacentral:rRNA from 1 species
AGGACGAACGCUGGCGGCGUGCUUAACACAUGCAAGUCGAGCGGUAAGGCCUUUCGGGGUACACGAGCGGCGAACGGGUGAGUAACACGUGGGUGAUCUGCCCUGCACUUCGGGAUAAGCCUGGGAAACUGGGUCUAAUACCGGAUAUGACCUCAGGUUGCAUGACUUGGGGUGGAAAGAUUUAUCGGUGCAGGAUGGGCCCGCGGCCUAUCAGCUUGUUGGUGGGGUAAUGGCCUACCAAGGCGACGACGGGUAGCCGACCUGAGAGGGUGACCGGCCACACUGGGACUGAGGCACGGCCCCAGACUCCUACGGGAGGCAGCAGGUGGGGAAUAUUGGACAAAGU